rnacentral:lncRNA from 1 species
CCGAGCUCCUGGAUAAGUGGGCUGGCAGAUAAUAACAGCAUGCGGAUGAGAUACCAUCCUUGCGGUUCUCCUGCCUCCACCAAGACCUGCCCUGUCUGUGGUCACUUCAAGUCUUCUGAUGGGCUGCGCUCAGAUCUUGAGAAAUGGCCACCCUGGGGUAAAAGGGACCAUGAAUCAGGAGAGAGUUCAAGAAAGCUCACAGCAGUGAACUGUAGCAAAUGGAAACCUUGAUUUCAAUUGCAACACAUUCUUGGGAUUCAUGGAAGAGAUGGAGUCUUGCUAUGUUGCCCAGGCUAGUCAACUCCUGACCUUAAGUGAUACUACUGCCUUGGUCUCCCAAAGUUUUGGGAUUACAGAUGCGAGCCGUAGCAUCUGGUUGCUGUUUUUAGUAAUGAUCACUAAACUGGAUAGAUUACUGGGAUCGAUGUUGUAAUAUGCACAUAGGAGUGCCAGGAACCUGCUAGACAUCGCCUGUGCUUUGCCCUGUAUUUGGAAGCCCAUUGGGAAAUUUGAAAAGGUCUGAGAAGAAUCAUCCCGUCUGUUAAGUGAUAAUUUGAGAAGAAAGAAACAUCGUCCUUGAAGUGCAGAGAGUUGCUUCUCUCUUGACACCUUAGAGGCAAGUCCAGGGAGCAGAAUUAAGUGACAGUAAAAGGAAAAGAUCACAUGUAUCACAGGAAUGAGAAAUCCUUAUGGCUAAGUCAGCUUUCCACAGUUAGGCUACACUUUGAUGUUGGCAAAAGUUUCCCUAGUGGGAGAGACAUAGGGAAAAGGGCAGAGGAAUAAAGAGACAGCUUCACUUACCCAGUCUAAGUAAAGAGGUGAACAGUUCAUCCAUCUAAUAUUUAAUAUGGGCUUCUCUUGUGAAGAGCUGGAAAUGCAUUUAUUAAAGUCUGCAUAAGCAGUUGAGUUAUAACCUCCAAAAUAAACUGGAAGAAAUAAAGGAAAAGAAACUGACUUACUGAAAAGUUUAUAAGCCCUCACAGAGAGCCAAGCUGCAAACAAGAAUCCAUGCAGAGCUGAAGGGAUGUCUCCGGGGGAUUAGUUGCAGAAUUGUUUUCUCUAGUGGAUGCUGUAGUGUAUGGACCGAUUCCUCCAUUGAUGGCCAAACUACUCAUUCCCCCACCUGCUGAGAAUCAGAGUGUGGACGGCUGAUGACUCAUGACUGAGUUCCUUACCAGGAAUUAACCUUGACUGGGCCCAAGUGUAUGCUCCCUGUCUGGGUUCAAAUUAAAAUCCAAAACGUAGUCUAUGUGGGAGUACAGAUACCCAGUCAUCAUGUCUCAGUUUGGGGCAGCUCUGAUGGGUCCUCCCAGUUCUAGAACCAGCUGUAGUCUUUAUUGUAAUGGCAUCAUAGUUCAGCUUGCCCUUGCCUAAUUCUGCUGCCUUCCUUUCUUCACUGGUGUUCUUUCCCAAACAACUCGGGAAUAAAUUCCCUGCAUGCAAAUCUUUGCCUCCAAGUCGG